rnacentral:rRNA from 1 species
GAUUACCUCAGUAACGGCGAGUGAAGCGGUAAUAGCUCAAAUUUGAAAUCUGGCUCUUUUAGGGUCCGAGUUGUAAUUUGUAGAAGAUGCUUUGGGUGUGGCUCCGGUCUAAGUUCCUUGGAACAGGACGUCAUAGAGGGUGAGAAUCCCGUAUGUGACUGGAUGCUUUCGCCCGUGUAAAGCUCUUUCGACGAGUCGAGUUGUUUGGGAAUGCAGCUCAAAAUGGGUGGUAAAUUUCAUCUAAAGCUAAAUAUUGGCCAGAGACCGAUAGCGCACAAGUAGAGUGAUCGAAAGAUGAAAAGCACUUUGGAAAGAGAGUUAAACAGUACGUGAAAUUGUUGAAAGGGAAGCGCUUGCAACCAGACUCGCAGUCCGUCGAUCAUCCGGGGUUCUCCCCGGUGCACUCGGCGGUUUUCGGGCCAGCAUCGGUUUCGGUGGUGGGAUAAAGGCCUUGGGAAUGUAGCUUCUUUCGGGGAGUGUUAUAGCCCUCGGUGCAAUGCCGCCUACCGGGACUGAGGACCGCGCUUCGGCUAGGAUGCUGGCGUAAUGGUUGUAAGCGACCCGUCUUGAAACACGGACCAAGGAGUCUAACAUCUAUGCGAGUAUUUGGGUGUCAAACCCAUAUGCGUAAUGAAAGUGAACGGAGGUAAGAACCCUUAAGGGUGCAUUAUCGACCGAUCCUGAUGUCUUCGGAUGGAUUUGAGUAAGAGCAUAGCUGUUGGGACCCGAAAGAUGGUGAACUAUGCCUAAAUAGGGUGAAGCCAGAGGAAACUCUGGUGGAGGCUCGCAGCGGUUCUGACGUGCAAAUCGAUCGUCAAAUUUGGGUAUAGGGGCGAAAGACUAAUCGAACCAUCU